GGAUUUGUGGUGUGUCCAGUCGGCCUUUGCUCUUUGAGUGAUUGUGCUGUUACUGGUCUGCCAUGUUUGGGUGGAAUCUGUGUGGCAUUAAGUUGUCGUGCAGGGGAUGCCCAUCGUUUACUGUGAAAAAAUUAGAGUGUUCAAAGCAGGCUUAUGCCUCUGAAUAUAUUAGCAUGGAAUAAUGAUAUAGGACCUUGGUACUAUUUUGUUGGUUUGCGCACUGAGGUAAUGAUUAAGAGGGACAGUUGGGGGUAUUUGUAUUCCAUUGUCAGAGGUGAAAUUCUUGGAUUUUUGGAAGACAAACUACUGCGAAAGCAUUUACCAAGGAUGUUUUCAUUAAUCAAGAACGAAAGUUAGGGGAUCGAA
rnacentral:rRNA from 1 species